UACGGAGGGGGUUAGCGUUGUUCGGAAUUACUGGGCGUAAAGCGCACGUAGGCGGAUUAGAAAGUUAGGGGUGAAAUCCCGGGGCUCAACCUUGGAACUGCUUUCAAAACUGCUAGGCUAGAGUAUGACAGAGGAUAGCGGAAUUCCUAGUGUAGAAGUGGAAUUCUUAGAUAUUAGGAGGAACACCAGAAGCGAAGGCGGCUAUCUGGGUCAAUACUGACGCUAAGGUGCGAAAGCGUGGGGAGCAAACAGG
rnacentral:rRNA from 1 species